rnacentral:piRNA from 2 species
UCCAAAUAUCUUGGGCAAUGGGUCUC